CUUACUUGUUUGAACUGUUCCUCGUAAGUCCAGUCGUGGUGCUGUGAUUGUCCGUGCGGUGCCACUUCAUUCGGGGAUUCGGAAUGCCUCGGCGCCAGAUACGACGGCUGUCCGACCCUGGAGAGCACAUGGUCCCGCUCUUCAUCGCCCAUGCCGCGAUCACCCUCUACUUCAUCGUCCAUAUCGGAGUCGUCCACUUCAUGUCUUGGUACAUCGCGAUGGGCAAGUUGGCGAUCCACUGAGCUUCCCCCCGAGGACGAAUCCGGUACUCCUGCAGCGAAAGCGCCCCUAACCGCUGCCUGGUAGUGACGGAAAGCGAUAGCCUGCUGCUGAAUCUGGGACUCCACCAUGGACCUGAGGUCCUUUUCUUUCUCUGCUUGCCGGAGCUUCUCCUCCAGAGCCAGGCGCGCAGCCUGCUGUCGCUGCAGGUUUUCCAUGACCGCCUCCAACUUCAUGCCUCCGCUGCCGGACUGAUGGGAAUGGGAGCCGGAGUAGUGGCUAUGGGAGGACGCAGUGGAUACUAACUGCGGAAGGGUGCUCGCCGAACAGAAAGCGGCUUGCUGUGCGGGACGAAGAGACCAGGGUCAGAUCAAAACAACGGAACGAUUCUAAGCAGCUGGUGCCACACAAGUCAUAUUAAACCUAGCUACUGUGAAUGAAAUCGAACAAAUGCGCUUGGCAAAGCUCUACCGGUAUACUAAGAGAAGGGAAAUGUGCUUUUUAGCCCCAACGGCGGAAAGAAACGAAUUGACAAGUAGGUUAAUACCUUAAAUAACAUGUGGUAGUUUCUCAACUCAUGCAACAUGUUGCUAUGGGCAUCGUCUGUCGUCUUUCGCAAAUCAGUGAGAUUAAAUGUAGGCUAUUAAGUAACUAACAAA